AUUGAACGCUGGCGGCAGGCCUAACACAUGCAAGUCGAGCGAGCGGCGGACGGGUGAGUAAUGUCUGGGAAACUGCCUGUUGGAGGGGGAUAACUACUGGAAACGGUAGCUAAUACCGCAUACCAUCACAUGUGCCCAGAUGGGAUUAGCUAGUAGGUGGGGUAACGGCUCACCUAGGCGACGAUCCCCCGCUGGUCUGAGAGGAUGACCAGCAACACUGGAACUGAGAAACGGUCCAGACUCCUACGGGAGGCAGCAGGGGGGAAUAUUGCACAAUGGGGGCAAGCCUGAUGGAGCCAUGCCGCGUGUGUGAAGAAGGCCUUCGGGUUGGAAAGCACUUUCAGCGGGGAGGCGUUACCCGCAGAAGAAGCACCGGCUAACUCCGUGCCAGCAGCCGCGGUAAUUCC
rnacentral:rRNA from 1 species